GACGAACCGAGCGAACGUUGUUCGGAAUCACUGGGCUUAAAGGGCGCGUAGGCGGGUGCUCAAGUCUGUGGUGAAAUCCUCCGGCUCAACCGGAGAACGGCCAUGGAUACUGGGUGCCUCGAGGGUGGUAGGGGUAUGCGGAACUAUCGGUGGAGCGGUGAAAUGCGUUGAUAUCGAUAGGAACUCCGGUGGCGAAGGCGGCAUACUGGACCACUUCUGACGCUGAGGCGCGAAAGCUAGGGGAGCAAACGGG
rnacentral:rRNA from 1 species